ACCAGACUCCUACGGGAGGCAGCAGUGAGGAAUAUUGGUCAAUGGGCGGAAGCCUGAACCGGCCAAGUCGCGUGAGGGAAUAAGGCCCUACGGGUCGUAAACCUCUUUAGGCGGGGAGCAAUGCCGGGCACGCGUGUCCGGAGGGAGAGUACCCGCAGAAUAAGCAUCGGCUAACUCCGUGCCAGCAGCCGCGGUAAUACGGAGGAUGCGAGCGUUAUCCGGAUUUAUUGGGUUUAAAGGGUGCGUAGGCGGAUUUUUAAGUCAGCGGUAAAAUUGCGGGGCUCAACCCCGUACUGCCGUUGAAACUGCAUCCCUUGAGUGCGCGAGAAGUAUGCGGAAUGCGUGGUGUAGCGGUGAAAUGCAUAGAUAUCACGCAGAACUCCGAUUGCGAAGGCAGCAUACCGGCGCGCAACUGACGCUCAUGCACGAAAGCGUGGGUAUCGAACAGGAUUAGAUACCCUGGUAU
rnacentral:rRNA from 1 species